UACGGAGGGGGCUAGCGUUGUUCGGAAUUACUGGGCGUAAAGCGCGCGUAGGCGGACCUGCAAGUCGGGGGUGAAAGCCCGAGGCUCAACCUCGGAACUGCCUUCGAUACUGCGGGUCUCGAGUCCGGGAGAGGUGAGUGGAAUUCCUAGUGUAGCGGUGAAAUGCGUAGAUAUCUGGAGGAACACCGGUGGCGAAGGCGGCAUCCUGGACCGGUAUUGACGCUGAUGCGCGAAAGCCAGGGGAGCAAACGGG
rnacentral:rRNA from 1 species